GCAAAACCAAGGAGAAACAAUACCAACAGUGUGAAGAAAGGCACGGAUACUACACAAGAAGCAGCAAAACCAUGAAAAGAAAUCAAGAAGGUUGCACAAAGAAAACCACGCAACAUCGACCAUAAAAGCAUGGGAAUAUAAUACAUCGGAAGGUCAAUGAACAAGGCGUGGUAUUAGUGUCGAAUGAUGCUCAUUCCCUUGCUCAAACACCUAUUGAUUGUAGUAUAAUCUCAAGCCAGGAAAAGAAACUUCACAAACGGAGAUGGAAAAUAAAACCACUUACAUUAGAGAUCUCCAGAGGAGGACAUUUCAAGAGGAAAGCUUUCAGCUUAAAAGUACAAGAAUCCAUACAUCGAACAUUUGUUGACACAGAAAUGAACCUGAACCGGUGAAGAUAUUUAAGAUGGAGCUCAAAUGCCAUCUUUGGAAUUGAAACCGGUGCAAUAGUCGUAAGAAGGAGAACAAAUUACAUUUGGUUCUUGGCCAACAUUUACCCAGGAAGUAAAGAUGAAGAUUGUGAGAGAGAAGAGUGAUAAAUAUUUUUGCUCAGGUGAAGCAUGGGGUUGGCGUAGAGGACAUAGUGAACCACAUUUUACAAGCUUGGGAAUUGCAACCGGCAAUAAGAAGCGUGAAAUGUUCAGCAUUACUUGAACUUUGUGGAACUUUUGGCUUCUCCAAUGCUACCUGCCAUUCACUUUCCAUGUGUCCCAGACACAUAUAAAGAGACACAGUGGACCUGGUCAAAAAGAAACAAAGGAGAAACUGAAGUAUAUAGCUAGCUCAAUUUGUUUUUACUUUUUAGUUUGUCUCUUUUGCUUUGUUUCAGACUAUCUCUGUUUUUGUGCUUUAUUAAAUUAAUAAAAUAAGCCAUAGGUGAUAAAAAGCCUAGUGGCCUUUAUUUAAAAAAAAAAAAAAAAAAAACUGAGGGAGUAUUUGAAUAGUGACCAAGGAAUGGUAUACGGAGUAUCAAACACAUGCUUUUCCCAAUUUAUGGAACACAACUCUUCAGUUUGCAAAUUAAACAUUAAUUUAAGGAAGAAGUGAUAGUAAUUUCAGGAAACCCACGAGUUUUUCCUUAGUUUAAGGUAUAUCUAUCCUCCAACCCAAAGAGUUGGAAGCUUCUAUAAAUAUACAAUCUCAUGAUGUUCACAAAAUCGUCCAAGGAUAAUAAAAUAAACCAAUCGGCAAAAAGAAAAAAUUAUCAAUAAAAAUUUAACCUUUGGAAAAAAUGGAGGCAAAUAAACUUGUAACAAUGUUUCUAAUGUGCAUGGUUGUGUUUUCAGCUAUGCACAUUUCCAUGGCUGAAGAUUUCCCGGGCUGCAUUGAUAGGUGUGAAAAGGAUUGCUCUGGGAAAGGCCUUGACUUUACUUACUGUAAGCUGACAUGUGAGGCUGAUUGUGGUUUGAGAGAGCUCCAAGGCAGAUUUAAGAAGCUCAUUUCUUGAACUGGACCAAGGAUGCAGGGUAUCACCCCUAGCAGGAGAUAGGGAAAAAAUAAAAUAGUGAAUUUAAUUUAAUUUAAUUAAUUCACUUCAUUAAUUUCCUUUUCUACUGCCGUUGUAAUGCUUCUAAUGAGAUGUAAAAAUAAUUACAUUUUGAUUUAUUUAUUUUUAUUGAAUAAUAUUA